AACAUACUUUUAUUAAAUCACAGUGCUAUGAGCCAGAAGUCAGGCACAACUUUUCUGGGUCCUCUCCUCAAGGCCCCAUCAGACUACCGUCAAGGUGUCAGCCAGUCUUUAUGCUCAUCUCUAGCUCCCCAUCCUCUUCCAGGCUCCUUCAAGUUGUUGGCAGAAUCCAGUUCCAUGUGGUUGUGGGACUGAGGUCCAUGUUUUCUUGACGGCUGUAUGCCAGGACAUUUUCAGGCCACCUUCCAGUGACCCUCUCCACAAUAUGGAUGCUCGUUUCUUCAAGGUGAACACAAGAUUCUCUGCAGUUGGCUAAGAUGGAGAUUUCCAUAAUGUAACGUGAUCACAGUUUGAGUCUGCGUGCGAUGAAAAAGAAUAAGAAUACAACUGACAAUGAGGAGGAGGAGCAGAAGCCAUUCCAUGUCCUGGACGUUAGGUCCCAAAAUGGAGCUGAUGGAAGAACGCUUACACUUGGGCAAGGACCUCAACGCCAAGGUCCUUGGGAAAGAAACGUCAGCAGGUUGUAGGGAGAGGACAGGAGUGACAAAGGCAGCAGCCAGCCACCGAGGGCUUCUUCAGGAGCUGUGCCAGCAGGGUGGCCACCCCAAGGCCUCCCAGGGCCCUGCAAUCCUCCCCCCACCCCCACCAGGAGCCGCACUCAGAACCUGGACUGGCCCGGGCUGUCACAAGGCUCUGCAACUCACACCUCAACCAGCUGUCCUUUGAUUUACUGUUUCCAUAUUAAUAACCUUUCUAAGUCUUAUUAGAAAUAAGGUCAGGCAACUUUCCU
rnacentral:lncRNA from 1 species